UUGAAAACCAAGGUCUUGGGAUUAAUACAAACUUUCUCCUGGUAAAAAACCUUAAGAAUGAAGUAAUCCUAGGAACUCCCUUCAUUAGAGC
rnacentral:pre_miRNA from 1 species